AUUGAACGCUGGCGGCAUGCCUUACACAUGCAAGUCGAACGGCAGCACGGGUGCUUGCACCUGGUGGCGAAUGGCGAACGGGUGAGUAAUACAUCGGAACAUGUCCUGUAGUGGGGGAUAGCCCGGCGAAAGCCGGAUUAAUACCGCAUACGAUCUACGGAUGAAAGCGGGGGACCUUCGGGCCUCGCGCUAUAGGGUUGGCCGAUGGCUGAUUAGCUAGUUGGUGGGGUAAAGGCCUACCAAGGCGACGAUCAGUAGCUGGUCUGAGAGGACGACCAGCCACACUGGGACUGAGACACGGCCCAGACUCCUACGGGAGGCAGCAGUGGGGAAUUUUGGACAAUGGGCGAAAGCCUGAUCCAGCAAUGCCGCGUGUGUGAAGAAGGCCUUCGGGUUGUAAAGCACUUUUGUCCGGAAAGAAAUCCUUGGCCCUAAUACGGUCGGGGGAUGACGGUACCGGAAGAAUAAGCACCGGCUAACUACGUG
rnacentral:rRNA from 1 species